UNGCCAGCCGCCGCGUGUAACACCGGCAGCCCGANGCGGUGAUCACUAUUAUUGGGUCUAAAGGGUCCGUAGCCGGUUUAAUCAGUCUUCUGGGAAAUCUAAUCGCUUAACUAUUAGGCUUCCAAGGGGAUACUGUUAGACUUGGGACCGGGAGAGGUAAGAGGUACUGCAGGGGUAGGAGUGAAAUCUUGUAAUCCCUGUGAGACCACCAGUGGCGAAGGCGUCUUACCAGAACGGGUCCGACGGUGAGGGACGAAAGCUGGGGGCACGAACCGGAUUAGAUUACCCGGGUAGUCCCAGCUGUAAACGAUGCUCGUUAGGUGUCAGGAACGGUGCGACUGUUUCUGGUGCCGA
rnacentral:rRNA from 1 species